CAAGGUUGACCUCGGAUCAGGUAGGAAUACCGCUGAACUUAAGCAUAUCAAUAAGCGGAGGAAA
rnacentral:rRNA from 1 species